CAUGUACAAUGAAAUUAUGGGUGCACCAUGCCAAAUGUUAAACAGACAGACAGACAGACAGACAAGAGGAAUAUAUACAAAACAAGAAAAAACACACAACGGAGCGUAAAGUGGUUGGAAGCAGCCUCCAAGGGGUGGCAGAGGGUAGCCAAUGAUUUUUUUUAGGCGGUGUUAAUUACCCAUGGCUAAGCUAUAUGGCUAGCCAUACAGCCAUAUAGCUUUAACCCAUAAAAAAUGCUUUAGUUAUAUUGAAACACAGCAUUCAGCAGAAUGGUUACCAUCAAACCAAGAAACCCAAUCAACAAAUAGGCCAAACAGGGAUUACCAUGCGUGUGGCUUUAGUUUGUCAUGUGUUGACAGUGUUAGUGUAAAUACUCUCACUACCAGAAGGGGGAGACAAAAGUUCCACACUGGUGGUUUAAAUGUGAAAAUAAAUGUGGGAUUACAAGCAGCAGGUCUCCACAGCCUGAGUGUGUUCCAGUUAAAUCCCCAAUAUGUCACUUAGUCACACAUACACACACUUAAGUCUCUACAAGUUGACGUAAUGUGCAUCCAAAUUCGACAAGUUGUGAGCGUACAGAAUAAGGCUUUUACAUUUGCUGGAAACAACGCCAUCAUCCUUUCUAUAAAUACAUUCUUUGCAAGUCACGUGCAGCACAGACCAGCUGACAAAAAAAAAAAAAAAAAAAAGCAACUGCCUUUGGCAACCAUGUGUCAUACAUUUGGACAUGAUUUUCCUGUGCAUCACUAACACAUGGUGACAGCGUUGCAUCAUGGGCUUUCUUUGAAAUCACCACUCUUUACAGUCACAGCGUUUCGUUUUUGCAUCUGUUUGUGUGCAUGCUCGACUGCGUUUCCUUGAGCCCGUCGUAUUUCUGGUCAGCCAAGAAUAUCGGCCCUCACAGACAGACACAGACACAGACUGUUUGUGCAAGGCUCACACAUCUGCUAGCACAUGCGUGUUUAUGUGCAUGUGUAUUUAAACAUCUCCACCCUCCAAUACACUGCACUCCAUCCCAUCCCACAUGUCAUUACACGAGACGGGAAAUGCUAUUGCUUACCAGAGGAGGUGUUUCUUCUGUGGAAGUCCCUGAACAGAUAGCUUUGGCCUUC
ensembl:lncRNA